rnacentral:misc_RNA from 1 species
AAAAAUGGGUGCAUAUGGCCUAUGGGUGCUAGAAAAGAAAGAAGAGUGAAGUAUGGAUUUCUAAAGGCAAAUUUUGCUGAUCUAUUCCUGUCAUGUGGAUGAAUGCAGCGAAUAACUGGAAAUAUGUGAAUUGACGAAUAUAACUUCCACCAUUGACACCACUAUCAACUGUGAGUGCACGGAUUCUGCAUUCGAGUAAGCUGGCUCCUUGUAAAACCAUG